UUGAAGGUGGUAGAGCCCUGGAGAGAGUUUUGGAUUGAAAGAAACAGAGGCAGAGCAUCAGGUGCAGGAGCAGAGAGGGGUGAGAGGGCUCUCAUGACAGGGCUAGAGGGGAAACAGUAGCUAGCAUGAUCAUGUCUGAUGUGAACAAUGACAGAGAAGUCCAGGCUGCAGAGGUGGAAGGAACCAAGAGAUUGAGUAUUUGUACAGUUCAUUAACAGGAAAUGUGACCUCUCUUUUGAGCUCUGCUAUUGAUCUGACACUUGAUCUUGGAUUUAUUAAUGAAUGAGAAGGUUGGUGGACAACAUCCAGGAUUGUGCAACCUCCCACACAUGUUCCGCAAACACAGCUCCUUUAGGGUAUGAUCAUCUUGAGGAAUAGAAUGGCAGAAGAUGUGCCUAUUAUUACUUACUGAAUAUUAAGAAAUCUACAGUAUUUCUUCAGGUACACUGGAUUCCCACUGACACAAAUAAUUCCAGCUGUGAUCAAGGCAUGCAACAAGCCAUUUCACAGCCUAAUGGUAGAUUGGAACAACCUGGAGCACCCAGCUGACAGCCUUUUGCUAGAAGAGAUGGGGAUCAGCACUUUGCACCCUUUUUGUUGUGAACACCCACUGCUUGGCCCAGAGACAGCCUAAUAUUUGGGCACAGGGGCAGUUUGGAGCUGCUGCCCAGUGAGAUGGAAGAUUCAGCAGAGAAGGGGAAGCAAACCUCGGAGAGAAAUAUGUGACUAAUUAUGUUGACAUCUGUGGCUUCAGUGGUGAGUGUGUUUGUGUAAGAGAGGGGUUAAAAUUGAUUGAAGAUGUCUCAGUUUGUCUUAAAUAUUUCUGUUUACCAGAACUCCAGUGAAUGUGACGACAUUGUUCUUGCAAAAGUAAAGAAUUUUGCUUUUGUUACUGCCCCUUCAAUUCUCCCUUUCUGGUUACAAUUGAGGCUUUCUGUUGACAGCUCAGUUUGUUCAAAAUGCUACUUCUCCCCUGCCUGUUGUCUUGAGAAGGUUUCACUCUCCCAUCUUUGAAUGUUUCCACGAGAGUUAAAUUCCUUAAUCUGAAGCUGCUGUACCAGCCUGACUGCAGCCUGUUUCCUUUGCGUUCUUAUUUUCCCUUUCCAAGCUGUCUCUGCUUAAAUGCACUCCUUCUGUUAGAUUGAGUGUUUCUGUAAGACAAAUUUACCUGUGAAACUUUCAGAAGUUCUGAUCCAACAUCUGUGGGGUUGCUGACCUGCUUAAAGCAAGUGCUUUGCUCGGAAUUGUCAGCUCUUGAUCUACUGUGUUUUCUUCUUUUUGACUGCAUCUUAGAGCAGACCUGUGGGCACCUCUCUGUGCACUGCACUUAUUUUCUGUUUCCACAGCAAACUAAGCAUGCUUGAUACUCACAAAACAGCAACCAUUACCCUAAGAAUGUCACAACACAACCUGCCAGUCAGAAUUCAAUGCAAUGUCAUAAGUAGAGAACAAUUAGACUCAGGUGGCAGAUAAAGGGGAAGAACAGGCUUAUUCUGAAGCAAAAUGAACUGGAGCUUUGGUAUAUGUUUUUCUGAACUGUAACAGAAACAUUCAGACACUCUGAAGGAGUGAAAAGCAGCAAGGCUGCUAUCAAGCAGAGUGCUUUUGGCAUCCUCCAUGGAGCUUUGACCCGUAUUUAACAGACGAGAAACUACAAAGCCCAUAAAGCAAGUCAGAAGAAACAGAGCACUUUGUACCCCUGCCAUCUCUUACAGUUGCUGUUAGGUGCUUCUUUCAGCAACAUUUCAUACUAAAGACACAUAGAACUUUGUUAAAAUUAGUAUUUUAUUUUAAUCCACUGUGCUUGAAGUUCGUCAUAUGGACUCAAGGUGUGAUACCUCUGAUAGCUUACUCUUCACAGCCCAUUUCAAUCUGCAAUUCUGGAAUUUCUGAAAUACUUAA